rnacentral:rRNA from 1 species
AUGUUGGUGCCGCGGGAGCAAGCCGAGGGGUUCGAGAGCACUGGGUUCAUCGGCCAUGGUGGACGGUGGUUUUCGGGAACGUGGGCGACACGGCUGCAGGAAGAACUGGUGUGUGUUGCUCCGGCCACCGCGCCCAGCAAUUGGAGCAGCCGCUGGCCAUGCCCAGGAGCUCGAGCCGCCGCCACUGAAGGCCGGCCGACGGCAGCGGAACAGCAGGAGCAGCAGCUUCGCCACGUGCAGCAGCCGGCACGCCCUCGAGCUUCAUCUCCAGAGCAAGCCGGCGCCGCCGCCACUGAAGACCGGCCGACGCAGCGAUAA